rnacentral:rRNA from 1 species
AGCGAACGCUGGCGGCAUGCCUAACACAUGCAAGUCGCACGGGGGGGCUUCGGCCUCCCAGUGGCGGACGGGUGAGGAACGCGUAGGGACCUGUCGAGGGGUGGGGGAUAACCGCGGGAAACUGCGGCUAAUACCGCAUGACGCCGCGGCGUGACAGCCGGGGCCAAAGGCGAAAGCCGCCCGCCGAGGGGCCUGCGUCCGAUUAGCUGGUUGGCGGGGUAGCGGCCCACCAAGGCGUCGAUCGGUAGCUGGUCUGAGAGGGUGAUCAGCGACACCGGGACUGGGACACGGCCCGGACUCCUACGGGAGGCAGCAGUGGGGAAUAUUGGACAAUGGGCGCAAGCCUGAUCCAGCAAUGCCGCGUGGGUGAAGAAGGUCUUCGGAUUGUAAAGCCCUUUCGGCGGGGACGAUGGUGACGGUACCCGCAGAAGAAGCCCCGGCUAACUUCGUG